rnacentral:snRNA from 1 species
AUAUUUUUUCUGGAACUUAAUAAAAUUUCAUAAUAAAAGAAAACUGUUCUUAUCAGUUUAAUAUCUGAUACGUCCCCUAUCUGGGGACCAUAUAUUAAAUGGAUUUUUGGAACAGGGAGAUGGAAGAAGAGCUUGCUCUGUCCACUCCACGCAUCGACCUGGUAUUGCAGUACCUCCAGGACCGGUGCACUUCUC